rnacentral:lncRNA from 1 species
UUUUUCUUUCCCCCCGGGGCUUUCUUCUUCCCUGCUCUCCACAGACCUCCCCAUUUUUCCAAAAAGAAAAUCACGGCGCCUCCCCUUUGGCCGGCGAUUUUUGCUCCUGAAACAACCCCUUUUGCCGUGACAACAACAACCCACACAUCCACUUUUCUCCCCUCGGCCGCUAGCCAAAAGAACCAUUUCACCAUCGUCAUCUCCAUUUUCCCCUCAUUUUCCUCUAGCCUUUGGACCACAACAGCCUCUUUACCUUCUCAGUUGCAGGAACAAAAGGCGAACCGGGCGGAGACCAGCCCUCUCCUCACUUUUCCUCACCGCCGGUCAAAGAAGAAAGAGGGGCUCACUCCCUCAUCUCCAUCGCCAGGCCUCUCCUCCAUUUGCCCCCCAGCGGCGGCCAGCCACACAGCAGAACAGCCUCACCUCCACCGACGAGCGAACGGGCAGGGCUGUUCCCCAUCGGCCUCUCUCUCCGGGUCAACGGACAGACCCAACUCAGCCCCACUCCGGACAGAGAUUACAGUCGUCCCGAACUCGCCCGACCUAGCUUUCUCUCCUCGCCCGCCUUCAGUAACGGCAGUCUCAGCUCUGACUAGCCUCUCUCUCUCAGCCACCGUGGAGUAAGCCUCGUUCACAGAAGAUCCAAAGCAAAGGGCUCUCCUUCACAACAGAACCAUCCCCGGAGAAGAAGAAAGGAACCACGCACAGAAAACAAAAAAUUAAAAGCAGCUCUAAAACAAAAACUAAAAUCAAUUGCUGCUGUGUGUUAGGGUUGUUUUCCAGGUCACGCCGACGAAGAAGAGAAGGAGAAAGCAGGGCAGAUCCGCCCGUUUCCAGCAUGGUCAGCGGCGGUACGUGGGAAGACGCGCCGCCACGAGUUCAGACAGUUCCGAAAGUGUCCUUCAAUGCAAUUUCUGGAGUUUUAGGGACUAUUUUUGUAAAUUUUAAAUUGAUUAAUGUAAUUUUUGUUUCGUUGUUUUGAAUUUGUAUUUUUUUAUAAAUGUGAUGUAAAA